AAGUCGUAACAAGGUUUCCGUAGGUGAACCUGCGGAAGGAUCAUUACCAAAACAAAAAAACCAUAGUGAUUCAUGCGUGGUGGGCUUUGCAUGUGCAAACAGAAGAAGCCCAUUACGGAAUUUGAGAACAAUGUUGACUAGUAUGUAAAUCAAUAUUGAUGACAACUUUUAACAAUGGAUCUCUAGGCUCUC
rnacentral:misc_RNA from 1 species